AUGCUCCGAUCCUCCUCGCCGCAGACGCUAGACGGCGUCCUGUGGGCCGAGGCUGCCCUCCACCAGUACUAUGCCCUACCCAAGAAGGGCAAGCCGCAGGGGCGCGAGUCCACCGUCCUCGCUGCCUUCCUGCUCUCUUCCCCGGAAAACCCACUGAACCCCACCAUCCUAUCCCUCGCCACUGGCACCAAGUGCCUCGGCGCAGCAUGCCUCGGACCUCGUGGUGACCUCGUCCACGACGCCCACGCCGAGGUCAUCGCCCGCCGUGCGCUCCUCCGCCUCAUUUAUGCCGAGAUUGGCACAGACAACCCACCAAGUUGGCUGGUUGCCUCUGGCGCUGAUGGGCGGUGGAGGCUGAAGGACGGGCAUCAGCUGCAUCUCUACAUCACGCAGCUCCCCUGUGGGGUCAUGCCGGUGCCGCCAUCACCCUUGGAGGUUCGGAGGGAACAACUGGAUACCAUGGUGAAUGGAUGCAGUGAUGUUGGUUUCGUUCAGAGGAAGCCUGGGCGUGGUGAUACAACAUUGUCAGUGAGCUGUUUUGACAAAAUUACUCGCUGGUGUGUCGUCGGGAUUCAAGGUGCACUGCUGUCACACAUUCUCGAACCCUUGUAUUUGUCCACCAUUACCAUUGGACAAUCAUCUGAUGGUGCACCUGAAGGGUUUUGUAUUGAAGAUAACGUUGUAAAAGUUCUUGGUGCUCGUUUGUCCUGUCUAUCCUGUAAUAAAUUCCCUGACCCUUUCAAACCGAACAAGCCACUAUUUUUUGAGGCACCUGUCCCCCCUAAAGAAUUUCAACAGACUUCAGGAGAUAUACCGCCUUUGACUUGCGGGUACUCAAUAUGCUGGAAUAAAUCCGGUUUGCAUGAAGUUGUUUUAGGAACAACUGGAAGAAAACAAGGUACAUCUUCAAAGGCAGCAUCCUCACCCUCCACUGAGUCAUUGCUGUGCAAGAUAAGAUUGGCAGAGACCUUCAUAUCACUUGAGCAUCCAUUAGUCACAAAGUUCUGUCACGAGGAACUGUCUUAUCGUGCAAUUAAGGAUAUGGCUUGUGAGUACCAGCAGAUGCUUGAGCUUCUUAGAAAGGCUCCAUUUUUUGGCCGGUGGCGUGCUAAGCCAGCAUCCCUUGAUUCGUUUACAGUUCCACGGUGA
rnacentral:rRNA from 1 species